rnacentral:lncRNA from 10 species
UAUGUUAGCAGAGGGUUUAUUGAGCGUGGCCCCUUGCAUACAGUAAGUGCUGGUAAACACUGCCCAUUGGGAAAGCAUAGUGUUCUACACUAAGCACCACCUUCUACAGGAACCAGCCCUGUUGAUCAACAGAGCGGCAUUUCUGGUCUCAGAUUCCUGGAUUGCACCAAAUGACCUCUGAGGGGAUAACAGAGGACUCCACGCAGGAAGGGUUCAGGCAGUCAUGUUGCCCAACAUGUGCGGUGACAGCAUAAACACCAGGGUGACUUGUCCCAGGUCACUGGGCUUGUUAGGGGCAGAGUGGGAUCUCUUGACCCUGUAAAAUGUCCUCUGGGAUCUAAAGUCUGAGAUUCCCAGGUGUGAGUCCUUCUCUGGACCUCGGGCUUCGGUAGCAGAGUCCAGCCUCAGAGCCUUUGUGCUUGCUGUUCCCCUUCCUGGAGCCUCCCAUGACCUUUGGAUGUCACUUGGCCUCUCUGCGCCCUCUCACCCCAGCAGUUCUGCAGAGGUCAGCCUUUAGAACUGACCCACGCCUCCCUGGGCCUGCAGGGUUUCACAGAGCUCGGCAGCAGCUUGGGUUACCCCUAGGGUCAGGUCAUCACCAUUUGCCUCAUCUCCUUCCACAGCCAACUUGGAAGGAUUCCCCAGCCUUGUGCCAGGAGAGGCUGGCACGGCUGCCAGAGCCCCACUCCGUGGCGCCAUAGGCCCUCACAGGGACUGCCCUGGCUCCUGGUGGCCAAACCACACAGGAUAGAACCACCUUUCCUGCUGGGACACAGCCCAGGCGGAAUCCCCCUUUCUUUCUCCUGGACCAAUCAGAUGUGAGUCAGGGACCCUCUCAUUAACAAAUUUCCUCCCUUCCUCCUCCCCUGUUAUGAGGCCAGGAGCGGGCGUCGACCUACAUGGAAGGGGAGGAGAGGUGGAACCAGUUGGAGCAAAUACCCAACCUGCCUCUUGCCUGGUAAGGUCACCCAGAAGCCUUGAGCCAGCAGCCGUUCCUUCCUCCAUCUCCAACGGUCUGGCCUUAUGCUAGCCCCCAACUCAGGACACAGACUUUACACUUAACCCCAAAGCAGUCCCUGCCUCACUUGGGGCCAAGUUCAGACAAGAGGCAAUCAGGGACUUAACUGGCUGCCAGAGAAGGCCACCCGCCUGGUUAUUAAAUAUUAAGUGGCAAGAGCCUGAGAAUGUAUAAUUGCAAAUGAGACUCUGAGGCAGAUGUUGCCAACAGCUUGGACCGGUGCAUGCAGUUGGGACCAACAGGGGAUUUCAAGUCACCAAGCCAGGCUGCUGGCAAGGGCCCCACAUUUGCUGGGCACCUGCUGGGUACCAGGCCCUGAACUGGAUGCUACGUGUAAAAAGAUUAACCAGACACGACUCCAGCUUCAAGAGGUUCCCUGUCCGCUGAAGAAGUAAGCAAGGGCUCACAACCACAGGUAAUCUCGGGCGUGGUGCGGGCCCCAGGGAAAUAUCUAGAAGGGGUUGGAGAAUUGAGGCUUCAGAGUGGAAAUGAGCUGACUUUGAACUGUACAUUCAGUCAGUCAUUUAACAAACAUUGGUUCAAUACCUAAUGUGUGCCAAAUGUUGUAGAUUCAGGGAAAUAAAGUAUUAAAUAAACCAAACUCUCUCAUGGUGCUUACAAUUGAGUGAGAGCUUGUAUUCCAAGGAUGAACAAGGUUUGCACCAAGAAGAAGAGAUAAAGAAGAGAGCGAGCCUGUGCAAACAUUCAGAGGCAUGAAGUCAAGUAGCUUCAAGGUGAAUAGGGAGUUCACUGCGGCUGGACAUGUGUGAAAGGGAGGGAGUGAGG